UAACUGUUUGGAAAUGUUAUUUGCUUUCUGGCUGAGCAUUUUCAAAUCUAUAAGCAUUUCUUGUUUGAAAGGGUUUUGAGUCUGCUCCCAAGAAGGGAAAUGAAGAAGCGACUACUUCAUGUGCAUCCUGUAACAAUGACAGAACAGCUGGCACACCCGUAUUAUCAGAGCCCACAUGCAGAAGAAKCCAAAGAACAAAACGCCGGCUUGUGGAUGAAAUGUUCGCAGAAGGGACAGUGGGUGUGAGUAAGUCAAAAAGUAAAUUUAUUUUUAUUUUUUACAUGUA